CUAUCCUUGACAUGUACAUAAUCUGGCCGAGAGGUUGGAGUGCUCGAAAGAGAACCGUAACACAGGUGCUGCAUGGCUGUCGUCAGCUCGUGUCGUGAGAUGUUGGGUUAAGUCCCGCAACGAGCGCAACCCUUAUCCUUAGUUGCUACGCAAGGGCACUUUAAGGAGACUGCCGGUGACAAACCGGAGGAAGGCGGGGAUGACGUCAAGUCCUCAUGGCCCUUAUGGGUAGGGCUUCACACGUCAUACAAUGGUCGGAACAGAGGGUAGCCAACCCGCGAGGGGGAGCCAAUCCCAGAAAACCGAUCGUAGUCCGGAUUGCAGUCUGCAACUCGACUGCAUGAAGUUGGAAUCGCUAGUAAUCGCGGAUCAGCAUGCCGCGGUGAAUACGUUCGC
rnacentral:rRNA from 1 species